GACGAACGCUGGCGGCGUGCUUAAUACAUGCAAGUCGAACGGAAAGGCCCUGCUUUUGCGGGGUGCUCGAUUGCCGAACGGGUGUGUAACACACGAGUAACAUCCCCCUGACUUUGGGAUAACUCCAGGAAACAGGGGCUCAUACCCGAUAUGAGCUUUUGCUGCAUGUUGGGGGUAGGUGAAUUUCGGCGGUUGUGGAUGGAAUCGCGGCUUAUCAGCUUGAUGGUGGGGUAGUGACUUACCAAGGCUUUGACGGGUAGCCCACCUGAGAGGUUUACCAGCCACCUUAGGACUGAGGUACGGCCCAGACGGCUACCGUACGCAGUGGUCGGGAGUAUUGCACAAUAGCGCCGAGCGUGAUACAGCAACGCCGCGUGCGGAAUAACGGGCUUCGAGUUAAAAACCGCUUUCGCCUUUGCCGAAGCGUGAGUGACGGUAAUUAGUAAAAAAGCACCGGCUAACUACGUG
rnacentral:rRNA from 1 species